UCCUUUUCAACUUCAAAAUGAGAUUUACAUGAUGAAGAAUUCAAAAAAUGAACCUGUAAAUGAAAGGAAAAGAGGUGAAGAAAGCAGUAACAGCAACAUCCCAAUAAUCAGAGAACAAGGCAAGGAUCCAAUUUGGUUUGGUCAAUAGAACAGUAACAGUAGUAGCAGAACUCAAAACCCAAGUCCACUAGCAGAGUAAUCCCAAUAACAAAACCUCAAAAACCAAGCUCUAAGAACACAGACUCAGGCCAUUUAAUUCUAGAUGAAUCAGAAAUGUUUCAGAAAUUAAAAAUCUCAAAAAUCACAGAAGAAGCUUGAUGGAACAAUGAUUUUUGUUGAAAAUUUCUGCCAUUUUGCAUUUUUCAAAAUUUUAUCUCUCCA
rnacentral:lncRNA from 1 species